rnacentral:rRNA from 1 species
UACAGGAGGCCCGAGCGUUAAUCGGAAUCACUGGGCUUAAAGGGUGCGUAGGCGGGCUCGUAAGAGUGGCGUGAAAUCCCCCGGCUCAACCGGGGAACUGCGUCGCAGACUGCGAGUCUUGAGGAAGCUAGGGGUCGCUGGAACGCUCGGUGGAGCGGUGAAAUGCGUUGAGAUCGAGCGGAACGCCGAAGGUGAAGACAGGCGACUGGGGCUUUCCUGACGCUGAGGCACGAAAGCGUGGGGAUCAAAC